rnacentral:rRNA from 1 species
AGAGCGAACGCUGGCGGCAGGCCUAACACAUGCAAGUCGAACGGACCCUUCGGGGUUAGUGGCGGACGGGUGAGUAACACGUGGGAACGUGCCUUUUGGUUCGGAAUAGCUCCUGGAAACGGGUGGUAAUGCCGAAUGUGCCCUUCGGGGGAAAGAUUUAUCGCCAUUAGAGCGGCCCGCGUCUGAUUAGCUAGUUGGUGAGGUAAUGGCUCACCAAGGCGACGAUCAGUAGCUGGUCUGAGAGGAUGAUCAGCCACACUGGAACUGAGACACGGUCCAGACUCCUACGGGAGCAGCAGUGGGGAAUAUUGGACAAUGGGCGCAAGCCUGAUCCAGCCAUACCGCGUGGUGAAGAAGGCCUU